rnacentral:lncRNA from 1 species
AGAGAUUAUCCCAUGCCAAUAAUUCAUCAGUGUGUGACAUGACCGUGCGUUGCCACGGGCCUUCUGUUGUAUAAAACUUAGUGAAUUUUUGGCCCAUUUCAACAACAUAGCCUGAACACCCUUGUCGAUGAAUUCUUUUUGAAUAUCGUAAUCCAUCUUCAUCUCUCUGAUACUCUGCAAAAACAAAUAUAUAUAGAAACACACCUUUUGUAUUAUCAUGCACAAGAAAUAUAUAAAGAAUAAUUAUGUGUAUGCAUCUCUUCUGAUUGUUAAAACAAGACAAUUUUUCAGUCCGGUCCUUCAUAAAGCUUUGUCAAUCGGCAUUUUCAAAGCAUCAUUGGAAGCCAUUAGUUUUCAUCUCUGAUCUCAAAAGUGGACAUGUAUAAACAAUAUUAAAAUAAAAAUAAGGUCAUAUUUUUUUGAGGGGAUAAAUAAGCUCACAUAUAAUAUAUAUUCAUUGGUGAGACGCUAAAUGCGAGCAUAUUCAUAUUCCGAUGAUAAUGAGACAUGCUUCUUCACCCACUAUCUCCACCUUUCUAAUUCUCGAGUUCCCUUCCACCAUCACGUCCACACAUAAUCAUACGCUUUUAUAUUUUGAAAUUUGCUUGUCUUGACCUGGCGUAAAUUCUAGAAGUCUNNNNNNNNNNAACAUUAAUUCGUGUAAGAAUUAAACCGUAAUGUAGAUCAACAACCCAGUAGUUAAUAGAAUAACCCUGACAUUAGGAGUAGAGAUACACCCAAAUAGCUAUAUAAUUUUCCUGAUUUCCAUACUAUUUAGAUUUUGAAUGCGAAUAAAGGAAUUGCUUACAGUACAAAAUAUAUGUGCAGACGUGCUUUAUGGAGCAAACAGUCUAGGUGGUCGCUAGCUAGAGAUUAUCCCAUGCCAAUAAUUCAUCAGUGUGUGACAUGACCGUGCGUUGCCACGGGCCUUCUGUUGUAUAAAACUUAGUGAAUUUUUGGCCCAUUUCAACAACAUAGCCUGAACACCCUUGUCGAUGAAUUCUUUUUGAAUAUCGUAAUCCAUCUUCAUCUCUCUGAUACUCUGCAAAAACAAAUAUAUAUAGAAACACACCUUUUGUAUUAUCAUGCACAAGAAAUAUAUAAAGAAUAAUUAUGUGUAUGCAUCUCUUCUGAUUGUUAAAACAAGACAAUUUUUCAGUCCGGUCCUUCAUAAAGCUUUGUCAAUCGGCAUUUUCAAAGCAUCAUUGGAAGCCAUUAGUUUUCGUCUCUGAUCUCAAAAGUGGACAUGUAUAAACAAUAUUAAAAUAAAAAUAAGGUCAUAUUUUUUUGAGGGGAUAAAUAAGCUCACAUAUAAUAUAUAUUCAUUGGUGAGACGCUAAAUGCGAGCAUAUUCAUAUUCCGAUGAUAAUGAGACAUACUUCUUCACCCACUAUCUCCACCUUUCUAAUUCUCGAGUUCCCUUCCACCAUCACGUCCACACAUAAUCAUACGCUUUUAUAUUUUGAAAUUUGCUUGUCUUAACCUGGCG